GUGCUCACUUCGGCAGUACAUAUACUAAAAUUCGAAUGAUACAGAGAUUAGCAUAGCUCCUUCUCAAGAAUGACAUGUAAAUUCAUGAAGCGCUCUAUAUUUUA